rnacentral:rRNA from 1 species
CCAGACUCCUACGGGAGGCAGCAGUGGGGGAUAUUGCACAAUGGGGGAAACCCUGAUGCAGCGACGCCGCGUGGGCGAAGAAGUAUUUCGGUAUGUAAAGCCCUAUCAGCAGGGAAGAAGAAAUGACGGUACCUGAGUAAGAAGCACCGGCUAAAUACGUGCCAGCAGCCGCGGUAAUACGUAUGGUGCAAGCGUUAUCCGGAUUUACUGGGUGUAAAGGGAGCGCAGGCGGCGCGCCAAGUCUGAUGUGAAACCCCGGGGCUCCACCCCGGGCAUGCAUUGGAAACUGGCGGGCUGGAGUGCCGGAGAGGUAAGCGGAAUUCCUAGUGUAGCGGUGAAAUGCGUAGAUAUUAGGAGGAACACCAGUGGCGAAGGCGGCUUACUGGACGGCAACUGACGCUGAGGCUCGAAAGCGUGGGGAGCAAACAGGAUUAGAUACCCCGGUAC